rnacentral:rRNA from 1 species
AGUGAACGCUGGCGGUAGGCCUAACACAUGCAAGUCGAACGGCAGCACAGUAAGAGCUUGCUCUUACGGGUGGCGAGUGGCGGACGGGUGAGGAAUACAUCGGAAUCUACUUUUUCGUGGGGGAUAACGUAGGGAAACUUACGCUAAUACCGCAUACGACCUACGGGUGAAAGCAGGGGAUCUUCGGACCUUGCGCGAUUGAAUGAGCCGAUGUCGGAUUAGCUAGUUGGUAAGGUAACGGCUUACCAAGGCAACGAUGCGUAGCCGACCUGAGAGGGUGAUCGGCCACACUGGAACUGAGACACGGUCCAGACUCCUACGGGAGGCAGCAGUAGGGAAUCUUCCGCAAUGGGCGAAAGCCUGACGGAGCAACGCCGCGUGAGUGAUGAAGGUCUUCGGAUCGUAAAACUCUGUUAUUAGGGAAGAACAAAUGUGUAAGUAACUUUGCACGUCUUGACGGUACCUAAUCAGAAAGCCACGGCUAACUACGUG